rnacentral:tRNA from 2 species
UCCUCGAUAGCUCAAUGGGUAGAGCAACCGGCUGUUAACCGGUAGGUUACAGGUUCGAGCCCUGUUCGAGGAG